rnacentral:rRNA from 1 species
GACGUAGGGCGCGAGCGUUGUCCGGAUUUAUUGGGCGUAAAGAGCUCGUAGGCGGCUUGUCGCGUCGUUCGUGAAAACCCACAGCUCAACUGUGGGCUUGCGGUCGAUACGGGCAGGCUGGAGUUCGGUAGGGGAGACUGGAAUUCCUGGUGUAGCGGUGAAAUGCGCAGAUAUCAGGAGGAACACCGGUGGCGAAGGCGGGUCGCUGGGCCAUAACUGACGCUGAGAAGCGAAAGCAUGGGGAGCGAACAGG